GUGGGGAAUAUUGGACAAUGGGCGAAAGCCUGAUCCAGCCAUGCCGCGUGUGUGAAGAAGGUCUUCGGAUUGUAAAGCACUUUAAGUUGGGAGGAAGGGCAGUAAGUUAAUACCUUGCUGUUUUGACGUUACCGACAGAAUAAGCACCGGCUAACUUCGUGCCAGCAGCCGCGGUAAUACGAAGGGUGCAAGCGUUAAUCGGAAUUACUGGGCGUAAAGUGCGCGUAGGUGGUUUUGUAAGUUGGAGGUGAAAUCCCCGGGCUCAACCUGGGAACUGCCUCCAAAACUGCAUGACUAGAGUACGGUAGAGGGUAGUGGAAUUUCCUGUGUAGCGGUGAAAUGCGUAGAUAUAGGAAGGAACACCAGUGGCGAAGGCGACUACCUGGACUGAUACUGACACUGAGGUGCGAAAGCGUGGGGAGCAAACAGGAUUAGAUACCCUUGUAGUCC
rnacentral:rRNA from 1 species